rnacentral:rRNA from 1 species
CAGGCCUAACACAUGCAAGUCGAGCGGACUUAUCCUUCGGGAUAGGUUAGCGGCAGACGGGUGAGUAACACGUAGGCAACCUGCCUGUAAGAUCGGGAUAACUACCGGAAACGGUAGCUAAGACCGGAUAGCUGGUUUCUCCGCAUGGGGGAAUCAUGAAACACGGGGCAACCCGUGGCUUACGGAUGGGCCUGCGGCGCAUUAGCUAGUUGGUGGGGUAAUGGCCCACCAAGGCGACGAUGCGUAGCCGACCUGAGAGGGUGAUCGGCCACACUGGGACUGAGACACGGCCCAGACUCCUACGGGAGGCAGCAGUAGGGAAUCUUCCGCAAUGGGCGCAAGCCUGACGGAGCAACGCCGCGUGAGUGAUGAAGGUUUUCGGAUCGUAAGGCUCUGUUGCCAAGGAAGAACGCCUCGGAGAGUAACUGCUCUGAGGGUGACGGUACUUGAGAAGAAAGCCCCGGCUAACUACGUGCCAGCAGCCGCGGUAAUACGUAGGGGGCAAGCGUUGUCCGGAAUUAUUGGGCGUAAAGCGCGCGCAGGCGGUCUUUUAAGUUUGGUGUUUAAGCCCGGGGCUCAACCCCGGUUCGCACUGAAAACUGGGAGACUUGAGUGCAGGAGAGGAAAGCGGAAUUCCACGUGUAGCGGUGAAAUGCGUAGAGAUGUGGAGGAACACCAGUGGCGAAGGCGGCUUUCUGGACUGUAACUGACGCUGAGGCGCGAAAGCGUGGGGAGCAAACAGGAUUAGAU